rnacentral:tRNA from 1 species
AGAAACUUAGGCUAAAUAGACCAGGGGCCUUCAAAGCCCCCAGCAGGGGUUAGAAUCCUCUAGUUUCUG